UGAACUCUGUACUUUAACGAAUAAUUUACUCGAAGUUGGUUUCGCGUCGCUGGCUAUUUCGCUAGUAGAAGAGAUCGUCGUAAAGUUUGACAGAUCUUCCUCGCUCUCUUCCGCGCUGGCUUUCCGAGGCGUGGGAUUUCUGGCGCCUUCCCUGACGGAUAAGGUUGAAAUUACGUCUUUGAUGUCCAAUUCUGGCGCGUAUAUGCUGGUGUUCGAUACGCAACUCGACAUGUCAAUCGAUUUAUCGACAGUUAGGAAAUUACCUGCGGGAUUCACAGCUGGACCGCUAUUAUUUCUCGCGAUCGGGCUAUGUAGGUUCUCGCGAACAACACACUUGAAUUCAUUCGCGGGCGGAAUAUUUAGUUUGGGAGGAGGGGGCGAUUUCUUGUAACGCGUUUCUUUGGGCGAAUUCCUAUCCAUCUCGUGAUUGUAAUGGUAAACGAAAGAGGGGAUUACUCUUUUAUCUAAAAAAAAGAAAAAUGCAGUGUCGUUAACACCC